UACGUAGGGGGCGAGCGUUGUCCGGAAUUAUUGGGCGUAAAGAGCGUGUAGGCGGUUUGUUGCGUCUGCUGUGAAAAUCCGGGGCUCAACCCCGGACUUGCAGUGGGUACGGGCAGACUAGAGUGCGGUAGGGGAGACUGGAAUUCCUGGUGUAGCGGUGAAAUGCGCAGAUAUCAGGAGGAACACCGGUGGCGAAGGCGGGUCUCUGGGCCGUAACUGACGCUGAGGAGCGAAAGCGUGGGGAGCGAACAGG
rnacentral:rRNA from 1 species